GAUGAAGAACGUAGCGAAAUGCGAUCAGUAGUGUGAAUUGCAGAAUUCAGUGAAUCAUCGAAUCUUUGAACGCACAUUGCGCCCUUUGGUAUUCCUUAGGGCAUGCCUGUUCGAGCGUCAUUUAAACCUUCAAGCUAAGCUUGGUGUUGGGUGACUGUCCGCUUCACGGCGGACUCGCCUCAAAAUUAUUGGCGGCCGGUACAUUGGCUUCGAGCGCAGCAGAAACGCGAACUCGGGCCCGUCGUAUUGGCUCCCAGAAGCUAUCUUCACAAUUUUGACCUCGGAUCAGGUAGGGAUACCCGCUGAACUUAAGCAUAUCAAUAAGCGGAGGA
rnacentral:misc_RNA from 1 species